rnacentral:lncRNA from 1 species
GUUUCCUCAGGGACACACAAAACCACCGUUCCCAUAGCAACACUGUCUUGUGAUGUCAGAAAUCAGGGCUAGGCCUUGAAUGAUAAAACAAAAGCAUGUUGGCUAGCUGGCAAGGAAAGCGUGGUGAAAAGGAUGGUGCUAGGCUCCAAUGAGAGGAAGCACUGCGUCUGUACCUACACACCAUGUAAUUGUUUUAUACUUGAGAUUUCAGAGAAAACGAGAUAUUGAUUUAAGGGGAAGCCUCAAUGUAGAAGCAGUUGGAGUAGCUGUUGAGUUUGCAGAUACUCAAGUGCAACCACUAACAAAUGGUGUUGAAGAAUCCAGCAUCAACAUAUCUGCCAAGAUCUCUGAAGUGACUAAACUUAGGCAGAGAAGCGAUGGGCAGAGCUGCACAGAACCUGAAUUCUGGUGCUGGUCUUGCCACCAAUAGCUGCCUAAGCCUUGAAAUGUUGCCCUGUCUGUCUCCAGAUCUCAAGAGGAUAGAACUCGACACUUCCAGGGUUUCCAGCCUGAGCCCUUCACAGAAUUUUCUCCAUGCUACACCUGGGGUUUUGCCCCACGAUGGAUCUUCUGAGUGUCCCCAAUUUGGACUCCUCUAACCUGGACUUGACCCUAACAGAGCUGUUCGUACAUGCUGUUCUUUGGUGUUGAUUAGUUGUUUCUUGGAAGGAUGACUCGGAGCCAGCCCAGCAGGAGGAUUGUUCUCCGGCUUUGAUUCCCAAUGGUGUGUGCCCAGUUGGAUUUUGGAAUCGCUUGGGACUGGUGGGGCUCCUUUUUGCUUUCUUGUCUACUUUUUUGAAUGUGAAUCUCUAUAACUAUUGUUCCAUGCCUGUUUCAACAUUAUAUUUCAGAAGCAGAUAACCUGUUUCAUGAGUUUCACAGGUUCACAUGGAGAGGAACUUUGGCCCAGGGUGGAUCUUGCCAAGAGCCUCACUUCAGACCUGAUUUAGAUUAUGAGAUUUGGGACUUUUAGACUGAGAGAGAGAUAUUAGAUCUGAUGCUAUAAAGGGUGGUUGCCUUUAGGGGCCUUGGGAUGGUGAUAUAUUCUGCAUGUGGGAGACAUGAAUCCUUGGAGAACACGAUGCCCACAGGUUGGGCUGAGGACCCACACAGGGUCCCAUAGGACCAGACAAGAAGGUUCUUGGCUUCAGAAGGAUGGAACUCAAAUGUGAGCCAGCAGGAAGUGAAAGCAGAGUUGAAGAUGGAGACAGAGCAGUACAGAUGGACUCAGAAAAGAAAGGAGAGGGAUCCCUGGGUGGCGCAGCGGUUGGGCGCCUGCCUUUGGCCCAGGGCGCGAUCCUGGAGACCCGGGAUCGAAUCCCACAUCGGGCUCCCGGUGCAUGGAGCCUGCUUCUCCCUCUGCUUGUGUCUCUGCCUCUCUCUCUCUCUCUCUCUGUGACUAUCAUAAAUAAAUAAAAAAUUAAAAAAAAAAAAAAGAAAAGA